GGAAUCAACGCUGGCGGCGUGCCUAACACAUGCAAGUCGAACGAGAAAGUGGUAGCAAUACCAUGAGUAAAGUGGCGCACGGGUGAGUAACACGUGACUAACCUACCCUUGAGUGGGGGAUAACUGAGGGAAACCUUAGCUAAUACCGCAUAAUACCCACGGGUCAAAGGAGCAAUUCGCUCGAGGAGGGGGUCGCGGCCGAUUAGUUAGUUGGCGGGGUAAUGGCCCACCAAGACGAUGAUCGGUA
rnacentral:rRNA from 1 species